AUUGCUGUGUGCUUUGCUAUUGAUACAGAAUGAAAUACUGCCCCACUGAUGCAUGUGAAAAUGUAGAUGUAUUGGGAGACUGCGCUUUGACUCAUUCAAGUCCUUUAAGGUGAAUGACAAGGCCCUUAGAAAACAUACUCUCUGCAAGGCGUAUUGCUGAGGAGUUCACUGCUAGCUGAAGGUAUGGAGACUAAAAGCCUUCCCAAGACAGAUACACGUUGGCAUUUGUUUUGAAAGAAUGGAGCAGAUCUUCCUUCUUUCCAUCAAGACAGAGGCCCCCUUCAGGUACUGGUAAGCUGCAAUUAGAUCUCCCCGGAGCCUUCUCUUCUCCA